GACAAACGCUGGCGGCAUGCCUAACACAUGCAAGUCGAACGGACAGAACAGGGAAGCUUUUCGGAGUGGAACUGGAAAGUUAGUGGCGGAUGGGUGAGUAACGCGUGGACAACCUACCUUGUAAAGGGGAAUAACCUCGAGAAAUCGAAGCUAAUACCCCAUAAUAACCUUGCUUCGCAUGAAGUAAGGAGGAAAGGCGGCCUUAGCGCUGUCGAUACAAGAUGGGUCCGCGUCUGAUUAGCUAGUUGGUGAGGUAAAGGCUCACCAAGGCGACGAUCAGUAGCCGGCCUGAGAGGGUGAACGGCCACAUUGGGACUGAGACACGGCCCAAACUCCUACGGGAGGCAGCAGUGGGGAAUCUUCCGCAAUGGGCGAAAGCCUGACGGAGCAAUGCCGCGUGAGUGAAGAAGGCCUUCGGGUUGUAAAACUCUGUCCUUAUCGAAGAGAGAGUGUUCUAGUAACUGACAAUACUAGGACGGUAGAUGAGGAGGAAGCCCCGGCUAACUAUGUG
rnacentral:rRNA from 1 species